CACACACACACACACACACACACACACACACACACACACACACACACACACACACACACACACACACACACACACACACAACACACACACACACCAAUGGGUGACGAAGAUGACCAUAUUUUGAUUGAGAGUAAAUAUACUUUAUAAUCACAGUGUCAUGCAACAAUGCAACAUACAGUGCAAUUGAGUUUAUUUCAGUGGCUUUCACAUCCCAUCCAACUCUGUGUCAGUAAAUUAGUAUCAGUGGGUGGUGCUCCGCUCAGAAGAGAUUUAAAAGCUCCUAAAUAUCUUAUCACGGUGAGUUGGCUAGAUUUACCUACGUAUAGCCAUUACAGACAUCAGACAACUUGAAGACAUUGUUAAGAAAUAACAUUGAAACUGUAGCUAGCAUUCUCAAAAACCAAGCAAAGCUAUCAUAAUGAUUAUAUUUUUAAAAGCUCUCAAAGACAUGCAAAAUGUUUGUUUUCAUGUAAACCAACUCUGAACAAGACACUGUGUGCUGAAACUCUGGAGUUUCCCCAUUACAGUAUUGGGAGAUUUUAGAGAGCAACUCUCUUUAUUUAUUUUGUACAGGUUUUGAAGUACUCUACUUUAUCUGGGAUGUCACUUCAGUCAGAGAGAGAGUGGUGUGGCAGGCAGCUUUCUGGGCCAGGUCAGGAGGUCAUCAACAGUGGGAAAAUAGUGUUCCCUCAUAGUGUUCCAGGCACAGGUGUGCAGCAUGGCCGGUACUGAAGAGAAGCACUGGACCAUAAACAAUGAUAUAAAUGUCUGGCAGAUAAAAUGGCUAGUUAACAAUCUUUUGACUGCCUUAACCUCUGAUCUUUUGUGACAUAUCGAUCAGCCAGCUGCUGGCGGUGUUGUCUAGCGGGACCUCUUUGGUUCAGGGAUGAAUGGAUUGGGGCUGGGGCCUCCAAAGGCUUUUUAUCCUCCUUUUAUCUUAGCUUUUUUUGGAGGUGGGAAAUAGUGUAAUAAAAUGUUUUAGGUUUCAUUUUUAAAAAGAGCUUUUCUUUGGCAAUGUAAUAGUUAGGUAAUGGAAUAUAGUUGAUAGUUAAUAAAUGCUUUACUUCCUUGCGGACCAUGUCCUAGUUAGCUCCAUGGUUCUAUUUUUAGAGUUUUAACAAGCCACAACAGAACCUUAUUCUCUGUUCCUUGCACAGGUGUUGCUGACGCAACGCAGUACGUUUCUAAGUUUACAGGGAAAAGAUUCAACACCAAGAGAGCUACUGGGUAAUUUACAUGGACAUAAUUGGUCCUAUGUAUAAUAUCAAGCUAAUUGUACGCUAAACAACACAUGUCCCCAGAGGCUGAAGUGAAGGCUGGGGGAGGCUGUAAGACCAUGAUGGCAGUGAUGGUGUGCUAAUGAUCACUCUUAACACCUGUCUGUCACUGGGACUAUGUACCUCAGCCUAGAUGCAUGUCUCCAGCUGCUUUGGCUGUUAGGCAUGUAGGGCAGAUCCAACUGUAGGAACCAAGGGGAAAGGAACAGAAGGAACAAAAGAGACAUUAUGGAAGUUUAGUUGCUACUUUCAGGUCGUAUUUCGGCUUUAAUGUUGGUUGUAUGGUCCAUACAUACAGUAUAUGAUAUAAUAAUAAUUGUUAUCUAUGAAGCCACACGCUGUUGAUCCCCCAAGCUGCCUGUGUGUUUCACUCUCACUUCGGGAUCAAUACGUAUCAUUGUUGGGAGACACUCAGACAGCUUCUCCAGUAGUGUGUUCAGCGUGAAGUUACUGUUUUCUUCUGAUUUGACAUACGCUUCACAGUUCAUGCAAAUGACUGGCCAUCUACGAUAGAUACAAAGUGGUUGCGUUAUCCGCAUAGCGAGUCCUGAUUAACUGUUGGCCUAGCUGAUAACGCCUUGUUCACUCUUUUCUAUGUCUAGUAGCUGUGUGUUUGGUACAUGACUGGAGCGAUAGAUUGCUGCGUCUGAGGCGCUGCCAGGAAUAAGGCAGUUUACAGUAUAUUGUGCUGCCAUUUGGUUUGACUAGUGCGUCUGCAGGCCACGAGGUCCUCUUAUUGGCAUUCAGCGAGCCGAAGCGUUACACUUUGUCUGUGUGAGCGGCAGCCUAAGAGACAGGCGGGCUGGAGGAGGGAGGCAGGCAUACAGAGUCAAGUACCUAGGAUUAGCCCUAGCCCUUCAACUUUCUCUAAUUAUCCUCCUGCAGGCAUUCUGGCCGUGUGGGAUAAUAAUGGAAGUCUGUGUGUUCGCCCAUCACCUCUCAAGUGUGGGUGGAGAAGGCGAGCGAGAGGAGAGAAAUGUUUGCUUUCCUUGUUACGUCACCCAUGGAACACAAUAGAUACACAUUACUUUGUUUUGUUAGUUCACUGAACGGAACGGAUGGGGACUGAAGUAUGGCUAGCUUAGAAAGUACUUUGCUACCCACUGGGCACAGACAUCAAAGUUUAGUUUUCAUUUACAUUUGGUUGAGUUGUCAACUAAUGAAACAUUAGUUGACACGAAAACAACCCCAAAAAAAACAACCAAAAAUGUCACGCUGUUGGAUUUAGGUUGAAAGUUGGGUGAAAAACAUACGAAAUUACCUCACGUCAUCACAUAAAAUGUUUGUGUUGAAAUGAUGUGGAAACAACAUUGAUUCAACCAGUUUUUGCCCCAAUGGGUAGGUUCUUUAUACUUGUGAACUGUAGCCAAUGAAUCGAUAUCAACAAUGAUGUUCACAUUGCCUUAGUGGUGACUUUAGAGCUGCAGCACGGCAGGGAAACAAUGUUGUGGACGUGAUAAUAGACUUGUGAAACGCCAUGUCACACACGUUUCAGACAACAGGGCCGGUCCUCUGCUGUCAUCUCUCUUCAUCUGAUGUCUUGGUUUCCUGGUAACGUCCUUAUUCUUCUCUCAAGCUGUCUCAACGCUGUCGGUGAUCAGGCCUACCACUGUUGUGUCAUCAGCAAACUUAAUGAUGGUUUGGGAGUUGUGCUUGGCCACACAGUCGUGGAUGAACUGGGAGUACAGGAGGGGACUAAGCACGCACCGCUGAGGGGCCCUAGUGUUGAGGAUCUGCGUGGCAGACACCUACCCUUACCACCUGGGGGUGGCCCAUCAGGAAGUCCAGGAUCCAGUUGCAAAGGGAAGUGUUUAGUCCCCGGGUCCUUAGCUUAGAGAUGAGCUUUGUGGGCACUACGGUGUUGAACGCUGAGCUGUAGGCAAUGAAGAGCAUUCUCUUUAAAAAAAAAUACUUUUUGUCUCUCCAAUUGGUAGUUACAGUCUUGUCUCAUCGCUGCAACUCCAGUACGGACUUCGGGGAGGCGAAGGUCGAGAGCCAUGCGUCCUCCGAAACACGAUCCAACCAAGCCACACUGCUUCUUGGCACAAUGCCCGUUUAUCCCGGAAUCCAGACAUACCAAUGUGUCGGAGGAAAUACUGUACACCUGGCGACUGUGUCAGCGUGCAUGCGCCCGUCCCGAAGUCAUUAGAGUGCGAUGGGACAAGGACAUCCCUGCCGGCCAAAACCUCCCAUAACCCAGACGACGCUGGGCCAAUUGUGCGCCGCCCCAUGGGUCUCCAGGUCGCAGCAGGCUGUGACAGAGCCUGGACUGGAACCAAGAUCUCUAGUGGCACAGCUAGCAACUGCGAUGCAGUGCCUUAGACCACUGUGCCACUCGGGAGGCCCGUGAACAGCAUUCUCACGUAGGUAUUCCUUUUGUCCAGGUGGGAAAGGGCAAUGUGGAGUGUGAUUGAGAUUCCGUCAUCUGUGGAUCUGUUGAGGCAGUAUGCGAAUUGGAGUGGGUCUAGGGUUUCCAGCAUGAUGGUGUUGAUGUGAGCCCUGACCAGCCAUUCAAAGCACUUCAUGGCUACCGACAUGAAUGCUAUGGAGCGGUAAUCAUUUAGGCAGGAUUCCUUCGGUUUCUUGGGCACAGGGACUAUGGUGGUCUGUUUGAAACAUGUAGGUAUUACAGACUCGGACAGGGAGAGGUUGAAAAUGUCAGUGAAGACACUUGCCAGUUGGUCCGCGCAUGCUUUGAGUACACACCCUGGUAAUUCGUUGGGCCCCGCGGCUUUGUGAAUGUUGACCUGUAUAAAAGUCUUGCUCACAUCGGCUACGGAGAGCGUGAUCACACAGCCGUGCAGAACUGCUGGUGCUCUCAUGCAUGCUUCAGUAUUGCUUGCCUCGAAGCGGGCAUAAAAGACAUUUAGCUCAUCUGGUAGGCUCGUCUCUCUUCGAGCUAAAUAUUCCAUUACUCAUUGUGCUGUCAAUAGCACAGACACACUUUAUGUAUAUUGUCUUUGUAUUGGCAUGUAAAGGUAUAUUACAGACACACGUAGGUAUAUUGUCUUUGUAUUGGCAGCGCCAAGGUAUAGCACAGAAACCCAUUAUGCAUAUUGUCUUUGUAUUGGCACAUAAAGGUAUAGGCUAUUGAAUCACUUUCAUCCCAGCUGGUUUACUCAUCUCAUUCUAACUAAUUCAGUUGGUCCUACAGUACUAUUGGGAGUUAUUGGUUAUUUGGGACAAUGUGAACACUGUGUGUCUAUAUAUUGAUCAGUUUGAGGGUCUCCUGUUGUCUGUCAAUAGCAGUAGAUUCAUCUAAUUACGCUUCCUCUCUGGUUCUCCUGUUUACUGUCACCACGGGAACUCUUAACAAGCCCAGCCCCCGGAGGGAGACGUCACAACAUUAGGACAAUCUAGUAGUUAGUCUCCCACCUCCCUCCUUUAACCCAGGUCAUAAACCAUUCACAAUGCUCCCAUACAGCAGAACACUAAACAUUUAAUUUAGACUAUUAGGAAUGUAAAUGUCUAUAUCCCAAAUGGCACCAUAUUCCCUUUACGGUGCACUUCUUUUGCCUAUAGAACUGUUGUCAAAAGUAGUGCACUAUAUAGGGAAUAAGGUGCCAUUUGGAACUAAUUUAAUUUACAUUCCAAAUAGUUUUAUGACAAGUGAUGUCAUUGUCAUGACACGUGUCUUGCCUGGGUAGGUGAAAUGAGAUGGCUCAGUGAAGCAUGGUGUAAGUGUCCACUUACCAGUUCUAGGGAUGAUUACUGUAAACCACAUUCCUCCUAUCUCUCUAGUCCUGUCAGUGAGAUCUGUCUGUGCAUUUCACACAUGGGAUCUUGGAAUGGUCAUAACAAUAUGUUGGUGCAUGGGAGUGCAAAGCAGAAGAAGCAGAAGUUGUAACAAAUGAACAAAUAAAGUUGUGUUGUAUUCUAUUGG
ensembl:lncRNA